GAGUAGCUAAGCCUACAGAGAAAAGAGCUCUGGAGAGCAAGAAAUCUUACCCAUCCCGCGGAGAUCACGCAAAGCUUGGGUUGGUUUUGGGGUCUUCAAAAGGUUCAGAGUCAUUCCGGAUAAGUCCAGAGAAAACUCGCUUGGGAUGGACCACUUGGGAUGCAACCAUCUUAAGCCCUGUCCAAGGGUUGAAGGCCCACGUUAAAGGUUGAAGAUGAACCAUUCUAAAAAGACCAACAAUACUGCUUGGGACAUUGUAACACAGUUGUCAGUUGACUUGGAGGCUGAGAUCAACUAUGUGGGCAAUCAAGCAAUCACACCUACAAAAUGAAGACCCAAUAAAAACUCUGAACACAGAGGCUCAGGUAGCUCAGAAAAGACAAGAGAAAGCGCUCAGAUUUGGAAUGACGGAUCAUGUGAGACCCCACAAAGGGAAGAGAGAAGCCACUUUAAGUUCUGUAAUAUAGAGCUUAGACAAGUAACUUGACUCCUCUGAGCAUUAAUUCUGGAAUUUCUGAAAUGGGUAUAGCGAGAGAAAAUUCCUCCAAGGCCCGAGGAUAGAAUAAGAUAAUGGAUGCAGUGGCAGGGCUUUCAGGAUGAAGCUGAUUUCAACAUCAACGGUUAUUAUCAUUAGUAAUAAAACUAAGAAUACAAAUCCUGCCAGGAAUACACAAAAUAGUAACAAGCAUUCUGCAGCCUGUCUCGGAAAGAAGAAAUAGUUUUCUUAACAGCCAGCCUGUCUGUGUAGAGACCUCUGAACACAUUCAUAACAGAGACAAAAGACGUGGGUCCUGAAGCUGAGAACAACCAAGUGACAUUCCAGCACUGCCAGAAAAAAAAGGGAUGGAACAUGACCUAUGUAAGAACCCAGCCUGGGAAGAAGAGAGGUUUCAUGGCCACAAAUCAACAAGGACUCCUUAGGAAACGGAAGAGAGAAACAGGAAAUGUAUAUAAGAUGCCUCUUACAACUAUUAUAUA